UGCUUCUGGAGAUUGUGCAGAUGGUA
rnacentral:piRNA from 1 species